AGAGAGAGAGGGAUGGAGAAGGGGGGGGAGUCAGAGACUGUGUUUUUAGAUGAAGGAGAACAGACUUCAAACUGCUGAACAUUACAUCUCUAAACAGUGUUGAGUUGGGUCUCCAUGGUGAUGGAUGGGUUCUUCUCAGAGACGUCAGGUUCAGGGUUAUGAUUAGAGCCUCUAGCCCAGAGGCGCUCACUUAUCAUCAGGCAGUGAGGUGACAAAGAAGGGCUGAGUAGCUCCAGGGGUCAGUAGUGAGGGUCAGGGUCGCCAGGGGUGAGGGUCAGGGUCGCCAGGGGGGAGGGUCAGGGUCUCCAGGGGUGAGGGUCAGGGUCUCCAGGGGUGAGGGUCAGGGUCUCCAGGGGUGAGGGUCAGGGUCUCCAGGGGUGAGGGUCAGGGGUCAGGGUCUCCAGGGGUGAGGGUCAGGCGUCAGGGUCUCCAGGGGUGAGGGUCAGGGGUCAGGGUCUCCAGGGGUGAGGGUUAGCGUCGCCAGGGGUGAGGGUCAGGGGUCAGGGUCU
ensembl:lncRNA